rnacentral:rRNA from 1 species
CUUUAUAGGCUUAUAACUAUAUCCACUUACACCUGUGAACUGUUCUACUACUUGACGCAAGUCGAGUAUUUUUACAAACAAUGUGUAAUGAACGUCGUUUUAUUAUAACAAAAUAAAACUUUCAACAACGGAUCUCUUGGCUCUCGCAUCGAUGAAGAACGCAGCGAAUUGCGAUAAGUAAUGUGAAUUGCAGAAUUCAGUGAAUCAUCGAAUCUUUGAACGCAGCUUGCGCUCUCUGGUAUUCCGGAGAGCAUGCCUGUUUCAGUGUCAUGAAAUCUCAACCACUAGGGUUUCCUAAUGGAUUGGAUUUGGGCGUCUGCGAUUUCUGAUCGCUCGCCUUAAAAGAGUUAGCAAGUUUGACAUUAAUGUCUGGUGUAAUAAGUUUCACUGGGUCCAUUGUGUUGAAGCGUGCUUCUAAUCGUCCGCAAGGACAAUUACUUUGACUCUGGCCUGAAAUCAGGUAGGACUACCC